AUUUCAGCUGUUGAAAGACCCCCAGUAAGGGGAGACCCUCACUCAAGUCUCGGGAUAAGGCGAUGCCCCAGUAAUUCAAGAGAGACC
rnacentral:pre_miRNA from 11 species